UGGUCGUACAGCUCACCAAGCACGUCAAGGUGAGGUCAUUGGUCGUACCGCUCACCAAGCACGUCAAGGUGAGGUUAAAGGUCAUUGGUCGUACAGCUCACCAAGCACGUUAAGGUGAGGUUGAAGGUCAUUGGUCGUACAGCUCACCAAGCACGUCAAGGUGAGGUCAUUGGUCGUACAGCUCACCAAGCACGUCAAGGUGAGGUUGAAGGUCAUUGGUCGUACAGCUCACCAAGCACGUUAAGGUGAGGUUGAAGGUCAUUGGUCGUACAGCUCACCAAGCACGUUAAGGUGAGGUCAUUGGUCGUACAGCUCACCAAGCACGUUAAGGUGAGGUUGAAGGUCAUUGGUCGUACAGCUCACCAAGCACGUUAAGGUGAGGUUGAAGGUCAUUGGUCGUACAGCUCACCAAGCACGUCAAGGUGAGGUCAUUGGUCGUACAGCUCACCAAGCACGUCAAGGUGAGGUUGAAGGUCAUUGGUCGUACAGCUCACCAAGCACGUUAAGGUGAGGUUGAAGGUCAUUGGUCGUACAGCUCACAAGCAUGUUAAGGUGAGGUUGAAGGUCAUUGGUCAUUGGUCGUACAGCUCACCAAGCAUGUUAAGGUGAGGUUGAAGGUCAUUGGUCGUACAGCUCACCAAGCAUGUUAAGGUGAGGUUGAAGGUCAUUGGUCGUACAGCUCACCAAGCAUGUUAAGGUGAGGUUGAAGGUCAUUGGUCGUACAGCUCACCAAGCAUGUUAAGGUGAGGUUGAAGGUCAUUGGUCGUACAGCUCACAAGCAUGUUAAGGUGAGGUUGAAGGUCAUUGGUCGUA